CGUGAGAUGUUGGGUUAAGUCCCGCAACGAGCGCAACCCUUAUGUUUAGUUGCCAACAGAUAAUGCUGUGCACUCUAGACAGACUGCCGUGGACAACACGGAGGAAGGUGGGGAUGACGUCAAAUCAUCAUGCCCCUUAUGAUCUGGGCUACACACGUGCUACAAUGGUCGGUACAACGGGCAGCGAAGGGGUGACCUGGAGCGAAUCCUAAAAAGCCGAUCCCAGUUCGGAUUGUAGGCUGAAACUCGCCUACAUGAAGUUGGAGUUGCUAGUAAUCGCGGAUCAGAAUGCCGCGGUGAAUGCGUUCCCGGGUCUU
rnacentral:rRNA from 1 species